UACGUAGGGGGCAAGCGUUGUCCGGAAUCAUUGGGCGUAAAGAGCGUGUAGGCGGCCAGAAAAGUCCGCUGUGAAAACUCGAGGCUCAACCUUGGGCUUGCAGUGGGUACGGGCAGACUAGAGUGCGGUAGGGGUGACUGGAAUUCCUGGUGUAGCGGUGGAAUGCGCAGAUAUCAGGAGGAACACCGAUGGCGAAGGCAGGUCACUGGGCCGCAACUGACGCUGAGGAGCGAAAGCAUGGGGAGCGAACAGG
rnacentral:rRNA from 1 species